CGAUCCCACAGUACACGGAGAGGAGCAGAAAAGCGGCCCCCACCUCUGCUGAAUGGAGCCCCACCAUCCUUCAAUGACCAGCUGGCACCUCGUCCUUGACGUGCCCCAUCGCACUUCCUUCUCCCGCCCACGAGGACCUCGGUAAUGUCGCCCCUGAAACUGCUGCGGAACCUGGAGCCCACUGUAACCCAGAAUUGGAAUCCCAG
rnacentral:lncRNA from 1 species